AUGAUGAUGUGACCUACAGAAAAUCUUACAUAAGAGCCAGGAUAAGGCUGAGUCAUUUGUCCUCUACUCAGAUGGCAGGUUCCAAGGUGCUAGCAGUCACCUCACAAUGACAUAUAAAUGAUAUUUCUGCUAGCACUGGAGAAGUGGAACCUUGCAGAGAGAGUUCCAGAAGCCAUGAAGGGAAAAGGCAGAGAACCAUCAAGAUCAGGAGAUGUUUAUAAAAGGUGCGGGUUUCUUGUUUUCUAAUUUUAAAUACCUAAGUAUUUGUGUUAGUGGGAUUGGAGAUUAAAGGACAACUUUCAGGGGUUAGCUUUCUCCAUCAACUGUGUGAAUUCCAAGGACAGAACUCAGCUCAUCAGGAAAGAACCCGUGCUGUCAUUUUCUGCUGUCAUUACCACACGUUCAGUGAUUUGCAGUCCUUUCUCCCCUGGCUGGCUGAGAACAAGCUCUGCUGGAGUCAAAUUGAUUGUGUCAAGAGAACACUCCUCCUCAUCCACCCCACCAUCAUGCCUGCCCCUCUAUAGCGGGCAUCAAGCACUGGGCCAGGAAACACUGGUCACCAAAUAUAACCUUGACUUGUAUGCCAUGAAGAUGGCAGCUUUAAUACAUCCAUUUCAUACAUAGAACUCUUAGAGAAGCAGCAAAGGCUUAGUCAGAACUUUCACAUCAAGGUUGCUACCCAUCCUCUAAUUCUGAGCAGAGAACAACUUUAGAGAGAAGCUGCAUGUUUUUCUUUGUUGGUUCCUGGUUUUGUUUAUCUGAGAAGUAGUUCACUCCUCUGCCCCAAAUACAUAGAACUUCUGCAACAA